GACGAACCGUGCAAACGUUGUUCGGAAUCACUGGGCUUAAAGGGCGCGUAGGCGGGAGACCAAGUCCGGGGUGAAAUCUUUCGGCUCAACCGGAAAACUGCCUUGGAUGCUGGUCUUCUUGAGGGAGGUAGGGGCAGGUGGAACUUCCGGUGGAGCGGUGAAAUGCGUUGAUAUCGGAAGGAACGCCGGUGGCGAAAGCGACCUGCUGGAUCUCUUCUGACGCUGAUGCGCGAAAGCUAGGGGAGCGAACGGG
rnacentral:rRNA from 1 species